rnacentral:rRNA from 1 species
CGGAAAAAACGGCUGGGCGGGCGUGCUUAGCAAUGCAAGUCGCUAGGUGAACAAAGGAGCUUGCUCUGUGGGAUCAGUGGCGAACGGGUGAGUAACACGUGAGCAACCUGCCCCUGACUCUGGGAUAAGCGCUGGAAACGGCGUCUAAUACUGGAUAUGUGACGUGACCGCAUGGUCUGCGUUUGGAAAGAUUUUUCGGUUGGGGAUGGGCUCGCGGCCUAUCAGCUUGUUGGUGAGGUAAUGGCUCACCAAGGCGUCGACGGGUAGCCGGCCUGAGAGGGUGACCGGCCACACUGGGACUGAGACACGGCCCAGACUCCUACGGGAGGCAGCAGUGGGGAAUAUUGCACAAUGGGCGAAAGCCUGAUGCAGCAACGCCGCGUGAGGGAUGACGGCCUUCGGGUUGUAAACCUCUUUUAGCAGGGAAGAAGCGAAAGUGACGGUACCUGCAGAAAAAGCGCCGGCUAACUACGUGCCAGCAGCCGCGGUAAUACGUAGGGCGCAAGCGUUAUCCGGAAUUAUUGGGCGUAAAGAGCUCGUAGGCGGUUUGUCGCGUCUGCUGUGAAAUCCCGAGGCUCACCCUCGGGCCUGCAGUGGGUACGGGCAAACUAGAGUGCGGGUAGGGGAGAUUGGAAUUCCUGGUGUAGCGGUGGAAUGCGCAGAUAUCAGGAGGAACACCGAUGGGCGAAGGAGAUCUCUGGGCCGUAACUGACGCUGAGAGCGAAAGGGUGGGGAACAAAAAGCUUAAUACCCUGGUUAUCCACCCGUAACGUUGGGAACUAGUGUGGGGUCCCAUUCCCGGAUUCGUGACGCCUACGCAUUAAUUCCCGCCUGGGAGAUACCGCCGCAGCUAAACCUCAAGAA